ACACAAUAAGACUGACACUGUUUGUAAAAGAAGGGUAGAUCACCAUAGUGACAGAUCAGCCAAACCCUAUGGCAAAAACACGGAAUGAGUCAAGUGUCAGAUGCUCAGGUUACAUGGGCAUGAUCUCAGUCCAGAAUUCUUAGAACCUAAUAAAUGUAUUUCUUUCUUUGUUCAUUAUUCUGUUAAAUAAUCUAAAAACUAGAUCUGAUAUUAAAAACAACUGAUUAAAUGAAACUUUCCUAAACUGUGAAUUUAGGUUGAAUAUUGGCUCUUCAUGUAGCUACAACCCCAGCCAGUAAGACUUCUCCUAAAACUUUGUUAGUCAUCUUCGCUAUUGCUCUACAUUAAUAAGUCUCGUUGCUCAUAUGGAGUUACUCAUGCAUGCAGUGCUGCCUUUCAAAUUAAGAGGCCUCUCCCUGAAAGACAGCCCAUGUCAGGGAUCAGCACAUCUGCAGAAAGACGAUCCGGUAAAGCCUCACAAUUCCUGGGGGAGAAUAGCAAAGUCAUGGAGAUCCAGGUGCUGCGCACCGAGCCACACCAGCGGCUGGCGUGCGUAAUGAACGGCAAUUAAAAGUGGCACAUGUGCACCAAACUGACGUUCAAACAAAGCCAAAGAGGCGUGAAGAUAAUAUAGAAAAGGACAAUUCUCUGAAGAUGUGGUUUUUUGGGAAAAUCCCAAUACACUAUCUAUCUCUCUGUCAGUCCUCUUUAUAUUGGAAAUCCACCGAGGAGCUUUAUCAUGAG